rnacentral:tRNA from 1 species
GGGAUUGUGGCUCAGUGGUAGAGCGCUCGCCUAACACGUGUGAGGCACUGGGGUUUGAUCCUCAGUACCA